GGUUUUGUAGUUCAGUUGGUUAGAACGCGCCGUUCACAUCGGCGAGGUCACAGGUUCGCGUCCUGUCAAGACCACAA
rnacentral:tRNA from 1 species